UGGUUGGUUGUCGGCUAAAAGCCCGCCCUCAUUACGCCGUACGAAGAGUGCACGUUGAUUGACACUCCCCUAGCUCAAUAGGAAUAAGAAAAACGAAGCGGCUCUGAUAUAUGAUUGGCUGAUGAGAUGACUGCCUUGCCUCUCGGGCCUGAGGCAUUCUGACCUAAUUUCCGGGAGGUCUGUUUAUUGCGCCACCCGAGACCGGCUGCUUCAGGAUAGGGAGACGUUUUGCGCUGUUUCUGUGUCUUGGAGUUGUUUUAGUUUUUGAGUUUUAUUUUUUCUAUGAUAUCUUUACAUGAAGUGAAAACUCUAGUUUCUGACUUUGAAUUCAGAAGAUCACCAACUACAUCCUAACUCAGAUAUUUAGGAAAGGAACCACCUUACAAAGUGGAAGUGUGCUGAUUAUCACAUAUUCAAAUAAAAACUCAGGAUACUUUUGUGAAUAACAGUAGUGCAUUGACUGUCAAGUGCUAUUGGAAUUUAAAAAGAGAAAUUAAUAUUGAGGCAAUUAGAGGAAGCUUUAUGGGGAAAGUAAUGUGAUUAUGUGCUUAGAUAGAUGGUAGAAUUAUAACAUGAAGAAAUUCAAAGUAAAAUAUUGAUAAAACAAACUAUUUUAAAAUGUAAAAUCAAUAGCACUAAUAUAUAAACAUGUUAAAAUAGAGGAGGAAAAACACCCAUAAACCUGCUAUCUUGUGUUUUUGGUUAUUCUUUUUUAAAGUUUGUUUAAAUGCAUAAGUAGUUUUACAAAGUUGUAAUAGUGUAAAUAACAUUUUCAUCUUAUAUUAAUUUAAACACUUUCUCAUAUUUCUAGUUUUAUAAUCAUUUUAUUAGUUAUAUAAAUUAUUCCAUAAGAUAUCCUUACCAUAAUUUAAUAAAUCCUCAAUUGUUUCACUAUCAUAAUAGUCUAAUGAGCAUUUUAAUACACAUAGCUUUUUGUUUCCUCUUCAACUGUCUGGAUUAUUUCUUCAGGAUAAAUUUACAGAAGAACUAUAUAAUCAAUAGGAAUUAAAGUUUUUAUUACUUUUGAUAUGUAUUGUAAAUUGUAUUCCAAAAACUUUUAUACUGUCACCAAAAAUAAAUUUUUACACCAGGACACUGGGUGUGUUUCAAAGUCAAAGAUGAUUCUAUUACUUAUUGUUAAUUUGGGGAGCAUAAGACCGAAUUUGAAAAAGAAGAGUUCUUGUCUUUGUAGAAAUACAUACUGACAACGUUAAGGAUGAAAUAACAGUCUCUGAGAUUUGCCUCCAAAUAAUCUGGAAGGGAGAGUGGAGUAGGUUUUAGAGGAAAUAAGAUAGACUUUGUUUUGAUAAUUUUUGAAGCUGGAUUAUGGGUGUGUGGGAGUUCAUUUCUAUUAUUGUCUCCACCUCUGUGUAUAUUUGAACUUUUCCCAUAAUAACAAUUAAAAAAAGAA